rnacentral:lncRNA from 7 species
GCCUUCAAGCAGGUCCCCCUGACAGAGCGGCCGCGCGGUUGCAGCCCGCGCCUGGAGAAGAGGAAACGUAUAAGAAGGAAGGUGCGGCAGAAAAGAACAGAGUUUAUUACUAACCCAUUAGCAUGGUGCGGCUGCAUGGGAAGCAAGAGUGCGCUCCAUACCAGAGUUCAUUCAGAGGAAAUUGUCCUCUUGGUGGCAGAAAUAAGAACAAGGAGACAACUCCUGUCUUCUAAAACUUUCCUCAACCUGCCAGGCAGGCAGCAAAGAAGCGCAGAGCAGCAGUUCACUUCUAGUUUUGGCAGAAGUUAUUCUUCCUUUCAGUCAGAGUUAUUGAUAAGGAACAAAGAAGAGUUUGAGAAAAAAGAAUGAAAGAAAAUGGAGAGCAACACCAAAGAAUAUAUAACCAUUUGUUAUCUUCCAUUUGUUCUAGCACAAAAUUUGAGUCACGUUUUUCUGCUGUUCCUAGCUUUCAAUAAGGCCCACUAAAGCACAGGCAGUAUGUUUAAGUCAGCUACUUCCAGAGACUUCCCCAAAAGACAAUAAGAAAAAGCCAGCCUCUCUCUACCACUAUGAAUUACUUGUGAGCUCAGAAUUUAACAUUUCCAAAAUGUCAAGUAGAUACAGACAGUACAGCACACUUCAUAACCAAGAAUUUGUUCACUAUUUUUAAACACAGGAAAGAAACCAAAUCAUAUACAUACAAGUUAAGAGAUACCAAUAUUUUUAUUUGCAUAAAAUUAUAGAACAGCCCCUUAUGAAAGCACAUAGUUUUAACUUCUGGUUACAUUUUUUCCUCUAUGAAUCCUCCAAGCUGUCAAUUCACAGCUUGGAGCAUUUUGUUACAUGACACAGAGAGACUGCUCAUUGUGAUGACCAAUUUUAUUUAUUUUCAAGCUACUAUGCAAAACAUUCAAUAUAGUAUCUGCAGUGUUUAUUUAAUAAGAUAUACAGUUCUCAUUACUGCAUUUUCAUUUCCCAUACAACUCAGAAGAAAAUACAUCUUUAAAGCAUUUCUCUGCAUUUCCUUUCAGCAAAGACAGUAACUGAUUCACUCACUGACAACAUUCAAAACUACACAGAAUUCCAAGUUACAUUCAGAAAUACAGUGAAUUUUGCUUUAACAAAUUAGGCCACUUGGUCUAAGAGCAAUGUCAUAAUUCUCUAAUUAUCUCAGAUCUCAGGCUAUCACAAAAAUAUAUAAGAGCCACAUGAUCAAAAGCACAGUAUCAUUAAGCAGACCUAAAAGAAAGAAACAGACCUCUCUCUUGAUCACUACAUCAGUUAAGUUCCAAAGAAAGAAAUCUUCAGAAUCUUCAGUUUUCUCUCCAGCCUCCUCUCAAACAAAAAUUCUCACAGUGUACAAACUCUAAAAAAAAACAGAGCCCUGGUUAAGCAGGCUUCGUGCUCAGGUGCAACAGAAUGAAGAAAUAACAUGCUCAGAAAUCAUUAUCAGCACACAUUCACUUUACAUACACAACAUUCCAGUGAUUCCCAGUCUUUUUCCACCUCCUGCUCCAUUCUGCUACAGCAAUUCUUUCACAGAAAACAUGGAUUUGGUUGCCAAUACAUAUUGCAAUACUAAGAAUCUGUCAAAACCAAAAAUAUCAGUUUAUGGAGGCAAAUGUUUCUACUUUCCCUUGAGAUACCACUCAGUUAUUAAUAUGUAAUGCAAGGAUACUGCAGUUAUUUAAUUGUCCAUGAUUACAUAUGGACCUCUGACAAGACCUGAUGGCUUUCAGAGACAGAAAUUUUUUAUUUCCAGUCCCUCCUCAGACAAAUAUCAAACUUACUUCAACAAGAAUUCUGUUCAUAAAAAAAAAAAAAUGUAAUGACGAGUCAGAGAUGGCUUCUUAAUCACAUUAGUGGCAGAAUGCCUUAAAAGGCUAAGAAAUCAUAACUGUAAUUUAUGUAUGUGAGGAAGAGAAGAAACCUUCCUAGCUACACCACCAGACUGUCUGUCAAACAGACAAAGGAUGCAGGGUGUACAACUUUAUUACCGCAGUAACUAUAAGCCCUGGAGUCAACAGACCACAGCUACAGAAACGCAGGACCUCCCUGUUUAGGAAUCUCAAGCAAGACAAUUUGCUACUGAGCAAAUGAAUUUAAAAUAUAUUUCACUACCAAGGAAAAACAUACUAUUCCCUUGAAGAUUAAAACAAUAACUGCAGAUAUUUCUAAAUAAAGCAUAAAUUUAAAC